UACGAAGGGGGCUAGCGUUGCUCGGAAUCACUGGGCGUAAAGCGCACGUAGGCGGAUUGCUAAGUCAGGGGUGAAAUCCUGGAGCUCAACUCCAGAACUGCCUUUGAUACUGGUGAUCUUGAGUCCGGGAGAGGUGAGUGGAACUGCGAGUGUAGAGGUGAAAUUCGUAGAUAUCGGGAGGAACACCGGUGGCGAAGGCGGCGACCUGGGUAGAUACUGACGCUGAGGAGCGAAAGCGUGGGGAGCAAACAGG
rnacentral:rRNA from 1 species